GAGGAAAGCUGGGGGCGUGCCUAAUACAUGCAAGUCGAGCGAACGGACGAGAAGCUUGCUUCUCUGAUGUUAGCGGCGGACGGGUGAGUAACACGUGGAUAACCUACCUAUAAGACUGGGAUAACUUCGGGAAACCGUAGCUAAUACCGGAUAAUAUUUUGAACCGCAUGGUUCAAAAGUGAAAGACGGUCUUGCUGUCACUUAUAGAUGGAUCCGCGCUGCAUUAGCUAGUUGGUAAGGUAACGGCUUACCAAGGCAACGAUGCAUAGCCGACCUGAGAGGGUGAUCGGCCACACUGGAACUGAGACACGGUCCAGACUCCUACGGGAGGCAGCAGUAGGGAAUCUUCCGCAAUGGGCGAAAGCCUGACGGAGCAACGCCGCGUGAGUGAUGAAGGUCUUCGGAUCGUAAAACUCUGUUAUUAGGGAAGAACAUAUGUGUAAGUAACUGUGCACAUCUUGACGGUACCUAAUCAGAAAGCCACGGCUAACUACGUG
rnacentral:rRNA from 1 species